CCUACGGGAGGCUGCAGUAGGGAAUAUUGCUCAAUGGGGGAAACCCUGAAGCAGCAACGCCGCGUGGAGGAUGAAGGUUUUCGGAUUGUAAACUCCUUUUGUUAGAGAAGAUAAUGACGGUAUCUAACGAAUAAGCACCGGCUAACUCCGUGCCAACAGCCGCGGUAAUACGGAGGGUGCAACCGUUACGCGGAAUCACUGGGCGUAAAGGGCGUGGAGGCGGGAUAGCAAGUCAGAUGUGAAAACCCAUGGCAUAACCAUAGAACUGCCUUUGAAACUGUUAUUCUAGAGGAGGGGAGAGGUAGGUGGAAUUCUUGGUGUAGGGGUGAAAUCCGUAGAGAUCGAGAGGAAUACUCAUUGCGAAGGCGACCUGCUAGAACAUAACUGACGCUGAGGCGCGAAAGCGUGGGGAGCAAACAGGAUUAGAUACCCUAGUAGUC
rnacentral:rRNA from 1 species